rnacentral:rRNA from 1 species
UACGUAGGGUGCGAGCGUUUAAUCGGAAUUACUGGGCGUAAAGCGUGCGCAGGCGGUUUUGUAAGUCAGAUGUGAAAUCCCCCGGGCUUAACCUGGGAACUGCGUUUGAAACUACAAGGCUAGAGUGUGGCAGAGGGGGGGUGGAAUUCCACGUGUAGCAGUGAAAUGCGUAGAGAUGUGGAGGAACACCGAUGGCAAAGGCAGCCCCCUGGGUUAACACUGACGCUCAGGCACGAAAGCGUGGGGAGCAAACAGG